rnacentral:rRNA from 1 species
UACGGAGGGGGCAAGCGUUGUUCGGAUUUACUGGGCGUAAAGGGUGUGUAGGCGGCUGGACAAGUCUGGUGUGAAAUCUUCUCCGCUCAACGGGAAGGGGUCACUGGAAACUGUUCAGCUUGAGUAUGGUAGAGGCAAGCGGAAUUCCUGGUGUAGCGGUGGAAUGUGUAGAUAUCAGGAAGAACAUCGGUGGCGAAGGCGGCUUGCUGGGCCAUCACUGACGCUGAGACACGAAAGCGUGGGGAGCAAACGGG